rnacentral:rRNA from 1 species
AGCGAACGCUGGCGGCAGGCUUAACACAUGCAAGUCGAGCGGGCAUCCUUGUGGUGUCAGCGGCAGACGGGUGAGUAACGCGUGGGAACGCGCCCUUCGGUUCGGAAUAACUCAGGGAAACUUGAGCUAAUACCGGAUACGUGCGAGAGCAGAAAGGUUUAUCUGCCGAAGGAUCGGCCCGCGUCUGAUUAGCUAGUUGGUGAGGUUAUGGCUCACCAAGGCGACGAUCAGUAGCUGGUCUGAGAGGAUGAUCAGCCACACUGGGACUGAGACACGGCCCAGACUCCUACGGGAGGCAGCAGUGGGGAAUAUUGGACAAUGGGGGCAACCCUGAUCCAGCCAUGCCGCGUGAGUGAUGACGGCCUUAGGGUUGUAAAGCUCUUUUCUCCGGGACGAUAAUGACGGUACCGGAGGAAUAAGCCCCGGCUAACUUCGU